GAGUCGGACGGUGUCGGGGCCGGGGCCGCCGCCGCCUCCUUGGAGAUGGAGUGGAGGUGGUCGAGCGCGCGUGAGACGGAGGUGUCGACGGAGGCCUCGCGGCGGUGGAGCGAGUCGAGCGCGCGGUGGGUGCGGGCGUCGAAGGCCCUGCGGCGGACGCGGAGCUGCUCGGAGCGGGCCGCGAGCCCGCGCUCGAGCGAGCCGAAGUGGUCGGCCAGCUGCUGGUAGAGGCGCGUGCAGGUGGCGAGCAGCUGCUGCU
rnacentral:lncRNA from 1 species